UACGUAGGGUGCGAGCGUUAAUCGGAAUUACUGGGCGUAAAGCGUGCGCAGGCGGUUUUGUAAGCCAGAUGUGAAAGCCCCGGGCUCAACCUGGGAAUGGCAUUUGGGACUGCAAGGCUUGAGUGCGGCAGAGGAGACUGGAAUUCCUGGUGUAGCAGUGAAAUGCGUAGAUAUGCGGAGGAACACCGAUGGCGAAGGCAGCCCCCUGGGCUGACACUGACGCUCAGGCACGAAAGCGUGGGGAGCAAACAGG
rnacentral:rRNA from 1 species